UAUGUGUAGCAUUUUUUUUAGGAGAAGCAAAUAAAUGAGUUAUAUUAGUGAAUUGAGCCGAGAGCACAUAGAAAGAAGAAAAAGAACAAAGAUUGAGAAUUAUAGAGCAGGAGAUGAAAUUAGGAGCAUGAUUGAACUAUCAGUCGUAACCAGGAAUAAGAUAUGAGUGAAGUAUUUGGUUGA